GAUGAACGCUGGCGGCGUGCCUAAUACAUGCCAGUCGAGCGAACAGACGAGGAGCUUGCUCCUCUGACGUUAGCGGCGGACGGGUGAGUAACACGUGGAUAACCUACCUAUAAGACUGGGAUAACUUCGGGAAACCGGAGCUAAUACCGGAUAAUAUAUUGAACCGCAUGGUUCAAUAGUGAAAGACGGUUUUGCUGUCACUUAUAGAUGGAUCCGCGCCGCAUUAGCUAGUUGGUAAGGUAACGGCUUACCAAGGCAACGAUGCGUAGCCGACCUGAGAGGGUGAUAGGCCACACUGGAACUGGGACACGGUCCAGAGUCCUACGGGAGGCAGCAGUAGGGAAUCUUCCGCAAUGGGCGAAAGCCUGACGGAGCAACGCCGCGUGAGUGAUGAAGGUCUUCGGAUCGUAAAACUCUGUUAUUAGGGAAGAACAAAUGUGUAAGUAACUAUGCACGUCUUGACGGUACCUAAUCAGAAAGCCACGGCUAACUACGUG
rnacentral:rRNA from 1 species